rnacentral:rRNA from 1 species
AUUGAACGCUGGCGGCAGGCCUAACACAUGCAAGUCGAGCGGAUGAAGGGAGCUUGCUCCUGGAUUCAGCGGCGGACGGGUGAGUAAUGCCUAGGAAUCUGCCUGGUAGUGGGGGAUAACGUCCGGAAACGGGCGCUAAUACCGCAUACGUCCUGAGGGAGAAAGUGGGGGAUCUUCGGACCUCACGCUAUCAGAUGAGCCUAGGUCGGGUUAGCUAGUUGGUGGGGUAAAGGCCUACCAAGGCGACGAUCCGUAACUGGUUUGAGAGGAUGAUCAGUCACACUGGAACUGAGACACGGUCCAGACUCCUACGGGAGGCAGCAGUGGGGAAUAUUGGACAAUGGGCGAAAGCCUGAUCCAGCCAUGCCGCGUGUGUGAAGAAGGUCUUCGGAUUGUAAAGCACUUUAAGUUGGGAGGAAGGGCAGUAAGUUAAUACCUUGCUGUUUUGACGUUACCAACAGAAUAAGCACCGGCUAACUUCGUG